AACUUUUAGCAACGGAUCACUUGGCUCUCGCAUCGAUGAGAACGCAGCGAAAUGCGAUAAGUAAUGUGAAUUGCAGAAUUCAGUGAAUCAUCGAAUUUUUGAACGCACCUUGCGCUCCUUGGUAUUCCGAGGAGCAUGCCUGUUUGAGUGUCAGUUAAUUCUCAACCUCCUCCAGCUCUGUUUGGCUGGCUCUUGGGGGAUUGGAUGUGGAGGUCUUUGCUGGUCUGAUUGCUAGGUCAGCUCCUCUGAAAUGCAUUAGCAGAACUGUUUGUGAUCUGUCAAUGGUGUGAUAGCUAUCUACCCCAAUGGGUCACUCUCUGUCUUGUUCAGCUUCCAACCGUCCCCUUGGGACAAGCUACUACUACUGAACCUUUGACCUCAAAUCAGGUAGGACUACCCGCUGAACUUAAGCAUAUCAAUAAGCGGAGGCU
rnacentral:misc_RNA from 1 species